GCCUGGGUGGCUCAGUGGGUUGAGCGUCCGACUUCGGUUCAGGUCAUGAUCUUGCAGUUCGUGUGUUCAAGCCCCACCUCAGGCU
rnacentral:tRNA from 1 species